rnacentral:rRNA from 1 species
AAUAUUCCACAAUGGACGGAAGUCUGAUGGAUCAAUGCCGCGUGAACGAAGAAGGUUUUCGCAUCGUUACUUUCUGUUGCGAGGGAAGAGCAAGUACGAACGUAACUGCUUGUACCUUGACGGUACAUCAUUAGAAAGCCACGGCUAAGUACGAGCCAGCAGACGCAGUAAUAGGUAGGUGGCAAGAGUUUUCCGGAAUUAUUGGGCGUAAAGCGAGCACAGGCGGCCUUUUCAGUCUGAUGUGAAAGCCCACGGCUCAACCGUGGAAGGUCAUUGGAAACUGGAAGGCUUGAGUACAGAAGAGGAAAGCGGAAUUCCACAUGUAGCGGUGAAAUGCGUAGAGAUGUGGAGGAACACCAGUGGCGAAGGCGGCUUUCUGGUCUGUAACUGACGCUGAGGCGCGAAAGCGUGGGGAGCAAACA